rnacentral:rRNA from 1 species
AGACCUCAAAUCAGUCAGGACUACCCGCUGAACUUAAGCAUAUCAAUAAGCGGAGGAAAAGAAACUAACAAGGAUUCCCCUAGUAACGGCGAGUGAAGUGGGAAAAGCUCAACUUUGAAAUCUGGCACCUUCGGUGUCCGAGUUGUAGUCUCAAGAAGUGUUUUCUGUGCCGGCCCGUGUAUGAGUCUGUUGGAACACAGCGUCAUAGAGGGUGACAACCCCGUUCAUGACACGGAUCCCGGUGCUUUGUGAUACACUCUCGAAGAGUCGAGUUGUUUGGGAAUGCAGCUCAAAUUGGGUGGUAAAUUCCAUCUAAAGCUAAAUAUUGGCGAGAGACCGAUAGCAAACAAGUACCGUGAGGGAAAGAUGAAAAGCACUUUGGAAAGAGAGUUAACAGUACGUGAAAUUGUUGAAAGGGAAACGAUUGAAGUCAGACGUGCGUGAUGCGGUUCAGCUCUGGUUCGCCAGAGUGUACUCCGUAUCUUUGCAGGCCAACAUCAGUUUCGCGAGUCGGAUAAAGGUUAGAGGAAUGUGGCACCUCCGGGUGUGUUAUAGCCUCUGACUGAAUACGAUUUGUGGGACUGAGGAACGCAGCGCGCCGCAAGGCAAAGGUUUCGACCUUUCGCGCUUAGGAUG